rnacentral:rRNA from 1 species
AGUGAACGCUGGCGGUAGGCCUAACACAUGCAAGUCGAACGGCAGCACAGUAAGAGCUUGCUCUUACGGGUGGCGAGUGGCGGACGGGUGAGGAAUACAUCGGCAUCUACUUUUUCGUGGGGGAUAACGUAGGGAAACUUACGCUAAUACCGCAUACGACCUACGGGUGAAAGCAGGGGAUCUUCGGACCUUGCGCGAUUGAAUGAGCCGAUGUCGGAUUAGCUAGUUGGCGGGGUAAAGGCCCACCAAGGCUACGAUCCGUAGCUGGUCUGAGAGGAUGAUCAGCCACACUGGAAGUGAGACACGGUCCAGACUCCUACGGGAGGCAGCAGUGGGGAAUACUGGACAAUGGGCGCAAGCCUGAUCCAGCCAUACCGCGUGGGUGAAGAAGGCCUUCGGGUUGUAAAGCCCUUUUGUUGGGAAAGAAAAGCAGCAGGUUAAUACCCCGCUGUGCUGACGGUACCCAAAGAAUAAGCACCGGCUAACUUCGU